UUUCAACUAUAUGUGAUGGAUCUUUUAAUUUUAGUAAAUUAGUCCAUAAAGUACUACAUUUGUUUUUGUAUCAAUGGGUUUGGAGUGUCUUCCUAUGUUAAUCUGGUGUUAAAAUGGAAGGUAAAUAUAGAUAUAACUUGUUGACUAUAAGAAGUGGCCCUCUUUUGAGCACCAAGAACUGUCAAAUGGUGGCAUUGCUUAAAUUGCCAU
rnacentral:misc_RNA from 1 species